UGGGUGGCUAGCUCAGCUGGCAGAGCAACGGACUCUUAAUCCGUGGGUCCAGGGUUCGAUCCCCUGGCCACCCAUAAU
rnacentral:tRNA from 1 species